CAUAAAUUUUAGUCCAGAAGGAUUAAAGACUUUGUGACAUCAUAAAGAGAAAUCCACCAUUAGCUCUUGAAAAUUUUUCCUUAACCAUGGUCUCUUGGAAAUAUUACCUUUAUGAUUGUAGUUAGUCUUAUAAGAUCCCCCAUACAGAAGCCAUAGUGAAAGCUGGAGCAAGGUGCUAUUGCAAAUAUGAAGGGCGACAUGAGGAUGUGGACUUCCCACUCAUGCAGCUUAUUCAUGUCCUCUGUGUUUUGUUCCAAGCCUGGAUAUUUUGCUUCUGAAUCUGUCCACCUCUGACUUGAUAUUCCAGCCCUUACAUGAGUGUCAACUAUAUGCUCCAUUCGUCAUCAGUAUCAUCAUCAGUAAUUACAUGCUGCAAUCAGUAUUCAUUCACCUCCAAAAGAGACUAGGUAUAGGUGUUCUCUACAUUUUUAUGAGAAAUGAACAGCACUUUCAUUAUAGAAAAAAAAAGAGAAAAUGUUAAAAUUCGAAAUGAAGAAGUUAUCCAUGGAAUUCUUACAUUGCUAAAAGAGAGAAGGCAAGAGCAACAAGAUAAAAACAUAAAUAAAAACAAAUACCAAG